ensembl:snoRNA Gm25614 small nucleolar RNA SNORA17
CCUGUCCCUAGAGGUGUUCCAAGUGUGGCUUCCCGUGUCACAUUAGUGUCAGUAGGUGGCAGAGAGGAAAGAAGUUAGGUCUAAGCUCAGUGUCCUAACAUAUGAACAUUUGAAUGAUUAGUAGUCUAAUACU